AAGGGUGUGGCUCAGUAGUAGAGCACAUGCUUAGCAAGCACGAGGUCCUGGGUUCAAUACCCAGUACCUCUG
rnacentral:tRNA from 1 species